rnacentral:lncRNA from 1 species
AUCAGAAAUCAAAUACUCAACACAUUAAAUAUAAUAAGAAUAUCAUACAAAACAUUUACAUAAAAAAUAUUUAACAAAAUCAAAGUACAAGUCUGAAAUGACUAACUACAUAUAAUUUAAAUGUUUAAAUUACUAAGCACUUAAUCUACAACUCGCAAUUAAUCUAGGACUCAUAAUUUUUCUUCAAGCUCCUAAUCAAAAGCAAUUCCAUUGUACAUAGUUGAACAUUGGUUAAUCAUCAUGACAACUUUUUCAAUUACUCCUGCCAAGAUAAGAGAAACACAUUAUUAGUCAACAUACACAAUUUAACAUAUUGUAAGGUACAAAUAACAAAGUUAAAAUAACUUAAAAAUUAUAAUUACUCCAAUUGUUAGUUUAAUCAAUUGAUUUCAGUUUUUGAAAGAAACAAUUCUCAAGCUAGAAGAAACAAGAGUGAGUAUAAGUGGAUAAAACAAAGUUUCUAGGCUAUAAAUUAUUUCCCUAACUAGAUUUAAAAAAAAAAUCACUUCUUUAUGUUAGAACAACAACAUUUAUAUCGAGUGGAAUACAUCUACAUGAGUUUAGUACCUCAUGAUUUUUAGGCCUUAGGAAGAACUGCAGAAAGUUUGGUCCAAAAGUUAACUCUUGACAGAAAGAGAUCCAUCAUAUAUUCAUUCUCCAUGACUAAAUAAAUUUGUUGUGAUUAAAAAUAAUACUAAUUCUUUCAAAUGUCGAUUCAAAAUUCUCACUAAUCAACAGAGCAAACAGAAAAUGAAAUAAACUAACAUGUGCAAGAUAACAAUUCCCUAUGAUCAUUAGCUACAAAUCGACCAAAACUAAAAUGAGCCACACCAAAAAGAGAGCUAAAAAGGCACUGAACAAGUAAAUAUGUUGCAGGGAUUACUAGCACAAUAGAAUAAAUGUCAUCGAGAUUAACAGAUAUACCUUAUCAAUCAACAACAAUUGGAAACAAUGGUAAAGGUUUAGUGAUUCUUACUAUCAAGCUAUAAGACGUUAAAAGAAAAUCAGAGAUACAAACCUUGUUAGAUAUGACAAAGUGGCCACCAACUUUUAGGAAAUAUGAUGCAUUAGAGCCAAAAUUCUUGCAUAUAGGGGAUGAAUAAAUUAAAGACUUCAGAGGAGGGGAUGAGUCGAAUAAAGACUUGAUACCAUGCUUCUUAAAAAUCCCUCAAACCAUUUUGAUGCGUCCAUUGGGCAAGUUUGCUAGCUAAACAAAUAAAACAAAACAACAAAACAAAACAAGAUCUGUCAACGAGGAUUCAAUCUAAUUACAUAAAUUAAAUCUUAUUUGAGAGAUGGCAUUUUACUUGAAAUUAAUGUGUGAGAAUGCAAAGUAGAAGAAGUUCCAAACCAGUGCUCAGCGUGUCGUCUUCCCCCAAUUGCUGCUCCAAUUGAUAUUGUAGGCUAGUUCCACUGCAUAUACAUAUAAUGCAAGUAUUAUAACUUGAGCUUGAAUCCUAAGUGAAAGAUAGAAGGGGAGAAAGAGAUAAUUGACUCCAUGGUGAGAAAGCGCAGCAGAACAUAAGCCCCUUUCUACGACUAAAAUCCACCACAAUCAAGAAAACAUUAAUCAAACAAAUAACAAUAAUACUACUAAAAUCAAAUUAAAAAAAAUCGCAAACGACUCAAGGGAAACAAAAUAUCAGAGAAAUACUUGAGAAAUCACGAAAUUUAAUUAGAAAUCCGAAACAUACAAAUCCACCAGUACUCGAUCACCUCUGGCGAACUUAGCAAGCAGUGUCUCGUUACUGAAUCGACGAGUUUGAGAGAAAAUCGAACUAAUUCUACUCUCAAAAGCAGCACAAAUCUGGAGGCGGCGGCGGAAGAGCGCAGAAAUUGAGAAGAAACCAGUUGCAGGGACAGAGGAUUUAGAUGAAGAAGAAAAAGAUAUGAUUUGAAUUAAGCCACCGCCGAUGAGAAAAAAUGAGGAGGAGGGGGCUUAGGGCUUCUUUUUCGUUUUUCUUUAUCUUAAUUAUUUGCAGGAGAGGAAUUCGAGUUUAAGAUUGUGGGAAUUGGCUAGAAGUAACUGCCGAAUUUGUGGAGAGAUUUUAGAACAUGGCGGUAAAAUGAAAGAAUUUGAACAUAGCGGUAAAAUGAAAAAAAAAAAUGUGGAGAUAGCGGUAAAAUGAAAUGUGUUCUAGUUUUCGUGGGUAAUUGUUUGUUUUAGUUUUCAAGAAUUUUAUAUAUUUGCUUCUUUU